rnacentral:rRNA from 1 species
AUACGGAGGGUGCGAGCGUUAAUCGGAAUUACUGGGCGUAAAGCGCGCGUAGGCGGCUUUGUAAGUCGGAUGUGAAAGCCCUGGGCUCAACCUGGGAAUUGCACUCGAUACUGCAGAGCUAGAGUAUGGUAGAGGGAAGUGGAAUUUCCGGUGUAGCGGUGAAAUGCGUAGAUAUCGGAAGGAACACCAGUGGCGAAGGCGACUUCCUGGGCCAAUACUGACGCUGAGGUGCGAAAGCGUGGGGAGCAAACAGGAUUAGAAACCCGGGUAGUCC